GACGAACGCUGGCGGCGUGCUUAACACAUGCAAGUCGAGCGGUAAGGCCCUUUCGGGGGUACACGAGCGGCGAACGGGUGAGUAACACGUGGGUGACCUGCCCUCAGCUCUGGGAUAAGCCUGGGAAACCGGGUCUAAUACCGGAUAUGACUCCAUGACGCAUGUUGUGGGGUGGAAAGCCUUGUGCGGCUGAGGAUGGGCCCGCGGCCUAUCAGCUUGUUGGUGGGGUGAUGGCCUACCAAGGCGACGACGGGUAGCCGGCCUGAGAGGGCGACCGGCCACACUGGGACUGAGACACGGCCCAGACUCCUACGGGAGGCAGCAGUGGGGAAGUCUUGCGCAAUGGGCGAAAGCCUGACGCAGCGACGCCGCGUGAGGGAUGACGGCCU
rnacentral:rRNA from 1 species